UACAGAGGGUGCGAGCGUUAAUCGGAAUUACUGGGCGUAAAGCGUGCGUAGACGGUUUCGUAAGUCGGGUGUGAAAUCCCCGGGCUCAACCUGGGAAUUGCAUUCGAAACUGCGAGGCUAGGGUACGGAAGAGGGAAGCGGAAUUUCUGGUGUAGCGGUGAAAUGCGUAGAUAUUAGGAAGAACACCAGUGGCGAAGGCGGCUCACUGGCCCGGUACUGACGCUGAGGCGCGAAAGCGUGGGGAGCAAACAGG
rnacentral:rRNA from 1 species